rnacentral:rRNA from 1 species
AUGGGUAUCUCGCGUGACUCCAUGCACAAGCGCCGGGCCACCGGUGGGAAGCAGAAGGCUUGGAGGAAGAAGCGAAAGUAUGAGCUCGGCCGCCAGCCAGCCAACACUAAGCUUUCAAGCAACAAGACAGUGAGGAGGGUCCGUGUUCGCGGAGGUAACGUGAAGUGGAGGGCUCUCCGUCUUGACACUGGUAACUUCUCAUGGGGUAGUGAGGCUGUGACCCGCAAGACCCGUCUCCUGGAUGUGGUUUACAAUUCGUCAAACAAUGAGCUUGUGAGGACUCAGACCCUUGUCAAGAAUGCCAUUGUGCAAGUUGAUGCUGCCCCCUUCAAGCAGUGGUACCUGACUCAUUAUGGAGUCGAAAUCGGUAGGAAGAAGAAAGCUGCUGCAGCUGCCAAGAAGGAACCUGCUGAGGGGCAAGAGGCUGAGGUUGCUGCUGCUGCCACAGAGGAAGCAAAGAAGAGCAACAAUGUCCAGAGGAAGCUUGAGAAGCGCCAGCAGGGACGUACACUGGACUCGCACAUUGAGGAGCAGUUCAGUGGUGGAAGGCUGCUGGCCUGCAUUUCGUCUCGCCCUGGACAGUGUGGCAGAGCUGAUGGGUACAUCCUGGAGGGCAAGGAGCUGGAGUUCUACAUGAGGAAGCUCCAGAAGAAGAAGGGCAAGGGUGCCACAGCUUAG